UCUUAUUUCUAGAAUAAGAAAUGAAAAACUUGCCAGAUCCUUGGGAGGAGGAGGAUGUGGGUGGAGUGCAUUUUAAGGCCUCCCUUGAAGAAACUGCAAAGCUAUCAGAAAUUGGAGCCAAAUUCCAGGGCACUCGGUGUCUAACAAGAACUUCAGCAUCUGAAACAGUCACUCUGUCCUAGAACUCAUCACACUCAGUCUGUAGGAAUGCAUGAUUCAGAGGCUGCCAAUGCCGACCUGUCUUUGCCGUGCUCAAAAUUAAGGUGGACUGGGGCUGGAGAGAAGGCUCAGCGGUUAAGAGCACCCGACUGCUCUUCCAGAGGUCCUGAGUUCAAUUCCCAGCAACCACAUGGUGGCUCACAACCAUCUGUAAAGAGAUCCAAUGUCCUCUUCUGGUGUAUCUGAUGACAGCUACAGUGUACUUAUAUAUAAUAAAUGAAUAAAUCUUUAAAAAAAGGGUUGGGGAUUUAGCUCAGUGGCAGAGCGCUUGCCUAGCAAAUGCAAGGCCCUGGGUUCGGUCCCCAGCUCCGAAAAAAAGAAAAAGAAAAAAAAAAUUCUAAAAAUUAAGGUGGAUUACUUUACCCACUGCAAGACUGUAGUAGUCCUUCAGAAUAAAAUUUACCAUUUUUUAAAACAAGUGUUGGAAGAUUUUAUUUUAAGAAUCCUUAACAAAUCCAAUCCAGGUUACCACAAAAGACCAACUUAAGUAAGGGCCGGCCAGAAAGGACAUUACAGCUAAGCAAAAGCUUUUUACCGCUUAGCACCUUCCAUUCUUAGCU